rfam:Pan troglodytes isolate Yerkes chimp pedigree #C0471 (Clint) chromosome 14, whole genome shotgun sequence.
GCUGGGCGUGGUGGCUCACGCCUGUAAUCCCAGCACUUUGGGAGGCUGAGGUGGGUGGAUCACUUGAGGUCAGGAGUUCGAGACCAGCCUGGCCAACAUGGUGAAACCCUGUCUCUA